GUUAAGUUGCAGGGUAUAGACCCGAAACCCGGUGAUCUAGCCAUGGGCAGGUUGAAGGUUGGGUAACACUAACUGGAGGACCGAACCGACUAAUGUUGAAAAAUUAGCGGAUGACUUGUGGCUGGGGGUGAAAGGCCAAUCAAACCGGGAGAUAGCUGGUUCUCCCCGAAAGCUAUUUAGGUAGCGCCUCGUGAACUCAUCUUCGGGGGUAGAGCACUGUUUCGGCUAGGGGGUCAUCCCGACUUACCAACCCGAUGCAAACUACGAAUACCGAAGAAUGUUAUCACGGGAGACACACGGCGGGUGCUAACGUCCGUCGUGAAGAGGGAAACAACCCAGACCGCCAGCUAAGGUCCCAAAGUCAUGGUUAAGUGGGAAACGAUGUGGGAAGGCACAGACAGCCAGGAUGUUGGCUUAGAAGCAGCCAUCAUUUAAAGAAAGCGUAAUAGCUCACUGGUCGAGUCGGCCUGCGCGGAAGAUGUAACGGGGCUAAACCAUGCACCGAAGCUGCGGCAGCGACACUAUGUGUUGUUGGGUAGGGGAGCGUUCUGUAAGCCUGCGAAGGUGUGCUGUGAGGCAUGCUGGAGGUAUCAGAAGUGCGAAUGCUGACAUAAGUAACGAUAAAGCGGGUGAAAAGCCCGCUCGCCGGAAGACCAAGGGUUCCUGUCCAACGUUAAUCGGGGCAGGGUGAGUCGACCCCUAAGGCGAGGCCGAAAGGCGUAGUCGAUGGGAAACAGGUUAAUAUUCCUGUACUUGGUGUUACUGCGAAGGGGGGACGGAGAAGGCUAUGUUAGCCGGGCGACGGUUGUCCCGGUUUAAGCAUGUAGGCUGAUUGUCCAGGCAAAUCCGGAUAAUCAAGGCUGAGGUGUGAUGACGAGGCACUACGGUGCUGAAGUAACAAAUGCCCUGCUUCCAGGAAAAGCCUCUAAGCAUCAGGUAACAUCAAAUCGUACCCCAAACCGACACAGGUGGUCAGGUAGAGAAUACCAAGGCGCUUGAGAGAACUCGGGUGAAGGAACUAGGCAAAAUGGUGCCGUAACUUCGGGAGAAGGCACGCUGGUGUGUAGGUGAAGUCCCUGCGGAUGGAGCUGAGACCAGUCGAAGAUACCAGCUGGCUGCAACUGUUUAUUAAAAACACAGCACUGUGCAAACACGAAAGUGGACGUAUACGGUGUGACGCCUGCCCGGUGCCGGAAGGUUAAUUGAUGGGGUUAUCCGUAAGGAGAAGCUCUUGAUCGAAGCCCCGGUAAACGGCGGCCGUAACUAUAACGGUCCUAAGGUAGCGAAAUUCCUUGUCGGGUAAGUUCCGACCUGCACGAAUGGCGUAAUGAUGGCCAGGCUGUCUCCACCCGAGACUCAGUGAAAUUGAACUCGCUGUGAAGAUGCAGUGUACCCGCGGCAAGACGGAAAGACCCCGUGAACCUUUACUAUAGCUUGACACUGAACAUUGAGCCUUGAUGUGUAGGAUAGGUGGGAGGCUUUGAAGCGUGGACGCCAGUCUGCGUGGAGCCAACCUUGAAAUACCACCCUUUAAUGUUUGAUGUUCUAACGUUGGCCCCUGACCGGGGUUGCGGACAGUGUCUGGUGGGUAGUUUGACUGGGGCGGUCUCCUCCCAAAGCGUAACGGAGGAGCACGAAGGUUAGCUAAUCCUGGUCGGACAUCAGGAGGUUAGUGCAAUGGCAUAAGCUAGCUUGACUGCGAGCGUGACGGCGCGAGCAGGUGCGAAAGCAGGUCAUAGUGAUCCGGUGGUUCUGAAUGGAAGGGCCAUCGCUCAACGGAUAAAAGGUACUCCGGGGAUAACAGGCUGAUACCGCCCAAGAGUUCAUAUCGACGGCGGUGUUUGGCACCUCGAUGUCGGCUCAUCACAUCCUGGGGCUGAAGUAGGUCCCAAGGGUAUGGCUGUUCGCCAUUUAAAGUGGUACGCGAGCUGGGUUUAGAACGUCGUGAGACAGUUCGGUCCCUAUCUGCCGUGGGCGCUGGAGAAUUGAGGGGGGCUGCUCCUAGUACGAGAGGACCGGAGUGGACGCAUCACUGGUGUUCGGGUUGUCAUGCCAAUGGCACUGCCCGGUAGCUAAAUGCGGAAGAGAUAAGUGCUGAAAGCAUCUAAGCACGAAACUUGCCCCGAGAUGAGUUCUCCCUGAGACUUUAAGUCUCCUGAAGGAACGUUAAAGACGAUGACGUUGAUAGGCCGGGUGUGUAAGCGCAGCGAUGCGUUGAGCUAACCGGUACUAAUGAACCGUGAGGCUUAACCUU
rnacentral:rRNA from 1 species